UACGAAGGGGGCUAGCGUUGUUCGGAAUCACUGGGCGUAAAGCGCACGUAGGCGGACGCUUAAGUCAGGGGUGAAAUCCCGAGGCUCAACCUCGGAACUGACUUUGAUACUGGGUGUCUUGAGUUCGGAAGAGGUGAGUGGAACUGCGAGUGUAGAGGUGAAAUUCGUAGAUAUUCGCAAGAACACCAGUGGCGAAGGCGGCUCACUGGUCCGGAACUGACGCUGAGGUGCGAAAGCGUGGGUAGCAAACAGG
rnacentral:rRNA from 1 species